rnacentral:rRNA from 1 species
UACGUAGGGGGCGAGCGUUGUCCGGAUUUAUUGGGCGUAAAGAGCGUGUAGGCGGUUCGGUAAGUCUGUCGUGAAAUCCUGGAGGCUCAACCUCGGGCGUGCGAUGGAUACUGCCGUGACUAGAGGUCGGGUAGGGGAGUGUGGAAUUCCUGGUGGAGCGGUGAAAUGCGCAGAUAUCAGGAAGAACACCCGUGGCGAAGGCGGCUCUCUGGGACGGUACUGACGCUGAGACGCGAAAGCGUGGGGAGCGAACAGG